rnacentral:rRNA from 1 species
GACGAACGCUGGCGGCGUGCCUAACACAUGCAAGUCGAGCGGAGAUAAUAGCAAUAUUAUCUUAGCGGCGGACGGGUGAGUAACGCGUGGGCAACCUGCCUUUCACAGGGGGGAUAACACAGGGAAACUUGUGCUAAUACCGCAUAACACAACGAGAUAGCAUUUUCUUGUUGUCAAAGGAGCAAUCCGGUGAUUGAUGGGCCCGCGUCCAAUUAGCUAGUUGGUGGUGUAACGGACCACCAAGGCGACGAUUGGUAGCCGAACUGAGAGGUUGAUCGGCCACAUUGGGACUGAGACACGGCCCAGACUCCUACGGGAGGCAG